rnacentral:rRNA from 1 species
GAUGAACGCUGGCGGCGUGCCUAAUACAUGCAAGUCGAGCGAACAGACGAGGAGCUUGCUCCUCUGACGUUAGCGGCGGACGGGUGAGUAACACGUGGAUAACCUACCUAUAAGACUGGGAUAACUUCGGGAAACCGGAGCUAAUACCGGAUAACAUGUUGAACCGCAUGGUUCAACAGUGAAAGACGGUCUUGCUGUCACUUAUAGAUGGAUCCGCGCCGCAUUAGCUAGUUGGUAAGGUAACGGCUUACCAAGGCAACGAUGCGUAGCCGACCUGAGAGGGUGAUCGGCCACACUGGAACUGAGACACGGUCCAGACUCCUACGGGAGGCAGCAGUAGGGAAUCUUCCGCAAUGGGCGAAAUCCUGACGGAGCCACGCCGCGUGAGUGAAGAAGGUCUUCGGAUCGUAAAACUCUGUUAUUAGGGAAGAACAAAUGUGUAAGUAACUAUGCACGUCUUGACGGUACCUAAUCAGAAAGCCACGGCUAACUACGUG